rnacentral:rRNA from 1 species
UACGGGGGGGGCAAGCGUUGUUCGGAAUUACUGGGCGUAAAGGGCGUGUAGGUGGCCAACUAAGUCCGACGUGAAAUCCCUCAGCUCAACUGAGGACGUGCAUCCGAAACUGGCGAGCUUGAGUGCUGAAGAGGAUCGCGGAAUUCCCGGUGUAGAGGUGAAAUUCGUAGAUAUCGGGAGGAACACCAGUGGCGAAGGCGGCGAUCUGGGAAGAUACUGACGCUGAGGUGCGAAAGCGUGGGGAGCAAACAUG